UACGUAGGGUGCAAGCGUUAUCCGGAAUUAUUGGGCGUAAAGAGCUCGUAGGCGGUUUGUCGCGUCUGCUGUGAAAACUGGAGGCUCAACCUCCAGCCUGCAGUGGGUACGGGCAAACUAGAGUGCGGUAGGGGAGAUUGGAAUUCCUGGUGUAGCGGUGGAAUGCGCAGAUAUCAGGAGGAACACCGAUGGCGAAGGCGGUUCUCUGGAACGCAACUGACGCUGAGACGCGAAAGCGUGGGGAGCAAACAGG
rnacentral:rRNA from 1 species